rnacentral:rRNA from 1 species
CCUACGGGAGGCAGCAGUGAGGAAUAUUGGUCAAUGGACGCAAGCCUGAACCAGCCAUGCCGCGUGCAGGAUGACGGCCCUAUGAGUUGUAAACUGCUUUUGUACGAGGGUAAACCCCGAUACGUGUAUCGUGUUGAAAGUAUCGUACGAAUAAGGAUCGGCUAACUCCGUGCCAGCAGCCGCGGUAAUACGGAGGAUCCGAGCGUUAUCCGGAUUUAUUGGGUUUAAAGGGUGCGUAGGCGGUUUGAUAAGUUAGAUGUGAAAUGUCGGGGCUCAACCCCGGAACUGCCUUUAAUACUGGUAGACUAGAGAAUAGUUGAGGUAGGCGGAAUGUAUGGUGUAGUGGUGAAAUGCUUAGAGAUCAUACAGAAUACCGAUUGCGAAGGCAGCUUACCAAACUAUAACUGACGUUGAGGCACGAAAGCGUGGGUAGCAAACAGGAUUAGAUACCCCGGUAGUC